CCUACGGGCGGCAGCAGUAGGGAAUCUUCGGCAAUGGACGGAAGUCUGACCGAGCAACGCCGCGUGAGUGAAGAAGGUUUUCGGAUCGUAAAGCUCUGUUGUAAGAGAAGAACGAGUGUGAGAGUGGAAAGUUCACACUGUGACGGUAUCUUACCAGAAAGGGACGGCUAACUACGUGCCAGCAGCCGCGGUAAUACGUAGGUCCCGAGCGUUGUCCGGAUUUAUUGGGCGUAAAGCGAGCGCAGGCGGUUAGAUAAGUCUGAAGUUAAAGGCUGUGGCUUAACCAUAGUACGCUUUGGAAACUGUUUAACUUGAGUGCAAGAGGGGAGAGUGGAAUUCCAUGUGUAGCGGUGAAAUGCGUAGAUAUAUGGAGGAACACCGGUGGCGAAAGCGGCUCUCUGGUCUGUAACUGACGCUGAGGCUCGAAAGCGUGGGGAGCGAACAGGAUUAGAUACCCGGGUAGUC
rnacentral:rRNA from 1 species